UGCGGCAACGCAAACGAACUCGGAAACGCCGACGUGGGUCCCGGGAAGAGUUCUCUUUUCUUGGUAAGGGGCGGCGACCCUGGAAUCGGUUCGCCCGGAGAUAGGGACAUGGGCCCCGUAAAGCAGCACGUCUCUUGUGCUGUCCGGUGAGCUCGCGUCGGCCCUUGAAAAUCCGAGGGAGA
rfam:Ciona savignyi cont_22765, whole genome shotgun sequence.